rnacentral:tRNA from 1 species
GCUGGCGUAGCUCAAUUGGUAGAGCAGCUGCCUUGUAAGCAGCAGGUUAACGGUUCGAGUCCGUUCGCCAGCU